GAGACUAACCUGCUGUCAGGCUGGGGAAGCUUGAACAAGGCCUUCAUUCAUGACAGCUCCACUUGGCUUUUUGACGAGUCCCCAUUUAGAUGCAGCACGUCAGAGACUGAAGAGCAGGAUGAAGGCUAAAUUCUCUCAAGAAAGAAGUUGCCUCUUACCAUGUCACAAGCAAUUAGUUUCACCCAAAAAGGAGGAGGACCCCUCUCUGCUCCCCGUGUUAAAAAACAAUACACCGCCUCACAGGCCAGAGCCACAGCCUUCUCCUCUCUGCUGGGUGGAAGAACAACUCUCACACAGUGGAAGUCCUCCAGACCCCCUGCCUUCAGACAAUAGGUUAAAGAUGUGUUUUCUAUGUUACCUUUUGAAAAUCUGAGAUACAGCAGAGGCAACUGUAGGAAGAGCUUUCAUGCUGUCUGGUCUCCUUUCACUGAAAAUGUGGAGGGCCUGUAUCUCACUUGGAAGAUAUUAUUUAAUUCCUUAUAUUACAAACCAAAGAAUAUUACACUACACCAUUACUAGGCUACACAAAGUUAUUUUAACAACCACUGAAUGGAAAAAGGUCAGUGCUGAAUAUAUAUAGCUGUGGAGCAGCAGCAGGCCUUGCUGGGCCGGAAAUGCAAGCAGCAUUGUCCACAUUACCACUCUCUGUACUUGGAUUGACCGAAUGCUCAGACCGUAGGAUAAGAAUUAAUACUUUUUAUUGAUCCCAAUCAAGAUAUUUUCGUUUUGCCUCCCCCAACUUGCUCAGAGUGAGCUGGCCGUGACGGGCAGCCAGUCAUAGUGGCACCCAGGGAACUGGGGGCCUUGCUGAAGGACCCACAGAUGUGCCCAGGCUGGGCUAAAGUGGGCUAUUUUCUGAUCACAGGCUUAGCACACUGAGCUACACACUGCCCCCAAAUUUAUAUUUAUAUGUAAUCUGUGUGUGUAUGUGUUAUCUAGAUUUGCCCUGUAUGUUUCUAACUAAAUCUAAUCCAGGCCGUGAUCCUACACCUACUAUAAUUAUAAGUACCUCACUAUACCUAUAUCUAACACUGCUAUUCAUCACCAGUGUUACAUGUCAGGGCUUCGCUGCAAUAGAUCCCUCAGUGCUGCAGGUUAUUACUGUGACUUUGCACACACACACGUUGCUGCUUCCUCAGCCAGUGUCACAUAUACUUUAUUACACACAGACCUCAGUAAUCUCUGCUACACUCACACCUGCUCACU